GCCGCGCCUAGAUCGGCCAAUCGAAAACGGGUUCUCUCACCCGCUGGCGCUGCUCUCUUUUUCGAGGG
ncrna:Ralstonia pickettii 12J int-alpA RNA